AUCGCACUUAUAAACAUUUUCAUCUUUCUCCACUUGUUAUACUUUCGUUUUACAUGAACGAAGUGGCAUAACCAUGUAAGUUGGUUUUGUCUGUUACAACAAAAACCCCUUCGUCGACCAUGCCUUGUCUAUUAAUAGAACAGUGUUGGCUUAUUUGUUCGGGAUAACAUAGUAUAUUGCUGUUGCAAAAUGGUCCCUUUAUUGUUGUUUUUAUAAAAACGUUUGUUCUUUAGUAUUAAGUACUUACCGAUACUUUAUAUUAAUAAACAUUAAGAUUAUUUAUAAAUGUGUUCUUUGGGGUUUAAGGAAAAAUGCAAUAUUGAACAGAUUGAUGAAGGCAACGAAAGUGAUUUACUUGAAGCAACGAACUCACCUUUAACAUUUUGAUUUAAACAAGUAUCUCCUAAUUCGAAUCAGGUUUCCUCUAGCGGCUAUCCGGUUAGGGAAACUGUCCACCCACCGAGAUUACCUCUCGCCAUGACACCCCUAUUCACAGGGUGCCCCAUAUUCGAUCCCUUCACUUACCCCUCUAACUCAUUCCUACCACCCUUUUAAAGAGUUUUAAGCCGAAUACAUCGCUAUCAAUUUAAAAAAUGAGUCUUAGUGAAAAUUAGAUGCACAUCAAAAACAAGUUAUUAACAAGAGAUCAAAACAAAAUACAUUGUAAAAAAUGGUUUUCUUGGUUUCAUUAAACCAUUAAUAUUCUUUAUUCUCUCUUCUUUCCAGGCAACCUCUUUAUUUUCAGGUUAUAUCUGGCGGCUGAUAAAGAUUAUUUAGGCUUGAUCUGGAGGCGGCUCUUCCCAAUGUGUCAAACAAUGCAGAUCGGGGCCGUACAAAUUCGUAACACUUGAGCUCAACCGCGAGAGGAAUCUUGUGCCCAAUGAAGUAAGUAGACACUUAACUGCUUGUUUUCCCUUCUACUAACUUUUACUCGUUUUCUCUUUUCUUUCUAUGCAAUAUUCACCGAAUUUAACUGAUUUGUCGUCAUCCGUUCUGCCGUCCAAGUUAAGAGUACAAUGUCUUUGGGAAUUAUACCAGGUGUAGAGGUUCCUGGUUUAUUACACCGAUAGGCCAACAAUCGAUACCUCAACAAUUACCUGCUGUCAUCAAGAGAGAUUGAUCGCUAAGCUAGAAGAAGCAAGAAGCUAAACUUUGCCACAACAAAAAGAAUUGUUUUAACAAAUAAAUACAUAACAAGUGUUUUACAAGUGCCUUAACCACCAGUGCCUUGUUAGCAACACCUUAACCCUCUAUAAGACGCACCCACAAAGCCAACUAUCCUGCCGACAUCCUUAUCAAGGUAUAGGAGGGAAAAAGUACAAAAUUCAAUAAAUUAAUUUUGAUGCAAACCUGCUUUGUAUGUGUUACCUAUAACAAGAAACUUUAUUUGGCAACUCUAAACUUUCUCGAUCUGGCAAAUCUAUAAUCUUUUGUGAAUGGCAACAAGCGUUGUCGGUGAGUACAUGCAAAUGGAAAGAAAAACGGAAGAAAAAGAAAAGAAGGAAAAUACUGCAAAUAUCGAAACCAAUAUAAAAGUGAUGAAGAUUCUUUAUCUGCAUCUUUAUCUCAAUGUAAAAAGUCAAACAAUGCAGAUCAAAUGGCCGCUCAGUACAUCUGAAUUUUAAUGGCUAUAUUCCUUGAUAUGUAGUAAACUAAAUGUAGCUGAAGCCAUUUAUAUGUGUUUUAAAAUGUAGUGAAAAAUUAGGCAAAAUAGAGGAAAAUGGGAACCGGUAUAUAACGCAAAAACCGGAAACCUAAAUAAAUAAAUUUUUUUUUUAUUGUUGGCAAGUUUCGUUGGUGAAUUUAAAAAUAAGUCUGUCCAAAUUGUGGACCAAGUGCCUUUGUGCCGAGUUGACCAGCAAACCGCCAACAAUUAAUUUAUUCUGGUUAGUCUGGUGGCGAAAUCCUCCCGAACACCCACUUUAUCACACCAUUAAAAAGGGUAAAGGAUAAGAGAAUAACAUUGAAAAGAGGUAACCCACUAUAAUAACGUCGAUCGUUGCUAAGAUCUGAGAGAGAAAUUCCGUGGCGGUUAUACCAACCCUCAGAAUACUGAGAACUGUAACGUUUCUAAAAAAAUUAAUUUGUGUGUGUGAAUGUGUUGUCUGUGUGUUUGUUCUAGUUAUAAGUAUUUGAUUUCUAAUUUUUAGAAUUUUUUAAUGCCGGACACCUGGUUUUUUUAAGUGUAACUUAUUUUUCCUGAAGAACGCUAGAAAAGACUUUGACGUAGUAAAUAAUAUCAGACUAAAAUCUUUCUUAAGUGAGCUAUCUUAGGGUAAGAAUUUCGUAAAGAAGAAACUGUUCGACUAAAUACGUUUUAGGUUCCCUUUAUUGCUUCGACGGGAAUACCUAAUAUUGAUGACAUUAGCCUUUUUUGAUUGCCUUAGGUAUGGUGUUAGAAAGUCCAUGUAUGGAUAAUAGCCUACAAAGGUAAGAUACAAAAUUAGAAUUAAGAUAUCUAUG